rnacentral:rRNA from 1 species
AAAGAAAGUAAGCAAGGGCGCAUGGCGGAUGCCUUGGCUCUCGGAGGCGAUGAAGGACGUGAUAAGCUGCGAUAAGCUUCGGGCAGGUGCAAAUAACCUUUGAUCCGAAGAUUUCCGAAUGGGACAACCCGUCAUUCUGAAGGAAUGACAUCUUGCAUAGCAAGAGGCUAACGCAGGGAACUGAAACAUCUUAGUACCUGUAGGAAAAGAAAAUAAUAAUGAUUCCCCUAGUAGUGGCGAGCGAACGGGGAUUAGCCCAAACCAAUGUUGUUACGGCAAUAUUGGGGUUGUAGGACCACGAUGUCGCAAGAAAUUUAGUGAGAAGAACCCUUUGGAAAAUGGGACCAUAGACGGUGAUAGUCCGGUAUUCGAAGCUAAAUGAAGCGUAGUGGUAUCCUGAGUAGCGCGGGACACGAGGAAUCUUGCGUGAAUCUGCCGGGACCAUCCGGUAAGGCUA